UCUGCUCUGCCCAGCCAGCCGGGGGGCUCGGAUCAGCGCUGUGACUGGGCCGGCGGCGGCUCCAUCCCUCCCUCUGCACGGUGCAGGCGGGAGAGCGGAUCCCAGCCCACCUCCUGGAUUCAAAAUGAAUCACCCACUAAUAUAAUACUGAAGCAAUAAAGACUUCGGGUAAAGAAGAUUUCUCACCCACAAUCAAGGAAUCAGAUUCAUCAUGACUUAUCACUAUAAUGAAGCUUUUGAAAACCCAGACUAUCACUACUCUGAGACAUUGGAGAUUGACAGAAGCAGAGAAAGGAAUUCAUCCUUUCACCAAAACCUUCCUGAGUCCUCCCUGGAUGAUGACUCGUUGUACAAUUCCUAUGAAGGUCGCAGUGGAAGAGGACAAAGAAACCAGGAUUAUCCCAUGGCUAUACCAAUGGCCUCGAUGCAGCCUGGCUUCCGAUACAGCCACAGCGCAUCGAGGUCGGCUGGACCCAACACAAAUCCAUAUGGAAAUCCACAUACUAAUCCUUCCUUUGAGUAUGAGCCAGAAUUAGCAUACACAUCUCCCUCCACGUUUCAUGCCAUGGAUGGUCCUUACAUACGCAGAUCUUCUGAUGUGUCUGAUGGAGGUAGCUUCAGUCAGAGAUAUAACAGAAGACAAGCUGACCUGGUCUACAGGAUGCCUUCCAGCCUUCUCAGACUAGACUCAAAUGCAGAAAUGUAUAACGAAGACAAAUAUAAACAAGAAGAAAACUUGAUCAAAAAUCUUGCAAACAUGUCCAGCAGAGAGAGAGUUAAAGCAAUCCAGAAGACACCAAAGACCAUGAAAGAAAAGAGAGACAUCAGGAAUAAAGUUCUCAUGGAGAAAACAAAAAAAUCUGUGAGCUCCAGUACUCAGAUUAACUGUUGUACACAGUGUCUGUACAAAACAGCAUUGUCCUAUCGGCGAUUUAAAAAUGGCCUGUCAGAAUAUUUGCACUUAUUGCAACUAUGGCAGAAGACUCUGAAAGUCAUCCGUGGCAAGUUUGGAACCAGUGUUCUUUCCUAUUUUGUUUUUCUGAAGUGGUUACUGACUUUCAACAUCUUCUCAUUCCUUGUAAACUUCAGCUUCAUAACAAUCCCACAGCUUAUAGCAUCAGGACCAAAUAACCUUUCGUUCAACGGUCUGGAGCUUCUGACCGGGGCUGGUUAUUUUAAAAAAACAGUGCUCUACUACGGUUUUUACACCAACUCUACAAUCACGAAAACUGAGAACAAUUCUUCCUAUAACAUGCAGCUGGCCUAUAUUUUCACUAUUGGGAUUUAUUUCAUCAUCUGCUUCUUUAGCUUGGUGUACAGCAUGGCAAAGUCCUUCUGUAAGAACUUCCUCAAUCUUCAGACUUACUCUGGAAGUGCUGCCAAGCUUCUCUGCAUCUGGGACUUCAAUAUAACCAAUGAGAAAGCUGUGAAACUGAAGCAAAGCAAUCUCAGUACACAAAUAAAGGAAUCCCUGUCUGAAGUGACCCUCGAGGUACUGAACCUUUCUCUAAAGCAGAAAAUUGCUCGUAUCGCUAUUCAUCUGGUGGUUUGGGUGGCUUCCUUGGGAAUAGCAGCUGCUUGUUGUGCUGGUGUUUACUACCUCUCAAGAAAUGAACUACAGCUCCUGGAAGGUAACAAAAGUGAGCUGGAAAACGAGGCUGCCACGCUAGUGCUGCCCAUUGUUGUGUCUCUCCUCAACCUCCUCAUCCCCUUCUGCUUCGCCUUGUUUGGACUCAUAGAGAAAUUCCAGUAUCCCAGACAUCAGCUCUACGCCACUAUUAUCAGGAAUGUUUGUCUGAAAAUAUCAAUAAUUGGAAUCCUCUGCUACUAUUGGCUUAACGAUGUGGCUACGUCAGAGAAAGAGUGCUGGGAAAGCCUAGUUGGCCAAGAAAUCUACCGUCUCAUUGUGAUUGACUUCAUAUUUUGCUUGCUUGGUUCUUUCUUUGGAGAAUUUGUACGAAGAAUCAUUGGAACUAAAUGUUGCAAAAAACUUGGAGUGCCAGAAUUUGAUAUUGCACGAAAUGUUUUAGACUUGAUCUACACACAGACUUUGGCCUGGAUUGGCAUCUUCUUCGCACCUUUAAUGCCAGCCAUGCAGAUUAUAUCAUUUUUUAUAAUAUUUUAUGUAAAAAAGGUCAGUCUGAUGAGAAAUUGUCAACCACCUCGCAAAGUCUGGAGAGCUUCUCAGAUGACAACACUCUUCAUUUUUCUGCUGUUUUUCCCUUCCUUUACUGGAGUCCUGUCUGUAAUGGCGAUCACUAUCUGGAGGCUGACGCCUUCUAAACAGUGUGGUCCGUUCCAAGGCUUGACUUCCAUAAUUCAUGCCGUUUCUGGGUGGAUACACAUAUUGGACAGCUAUUCCAGCUCGAAAUGGGUGGUGUGGAUUUAUCGUAACUUAAUUGGAAGCGUGCAUUUCUUCUUCAUCCUCACUGUCAUUGUCCUAAUUAUCACAUAUCUUUACUGGCAAAUAAUAGAAGGAAGAAAGAUAAUGGUCAGACUCCUGCAUGAGCAAAUUAUUAAUGAAGGAAAGGAUAAAAUGUUUUUACUUAAUAAACUACGUGCACUGCAGACAUCAAAACUAGACCCACCCAAAGGAGAACAGCAAGAGAUUCCCCUCUCUUCCUACAUCACCCCCCACAAAGCCACCUGAAAGAAAGGGAAGCAAGCUAAAAAAAAUAGUAAAAAAGGAAACAAAGGAAAAGAGCCCAAAGAGAGACAGAAGAAAAUAAACUCUUUUUAUCUCAGGAAGCUCAGUGCAUCCAAAUUCUCAAGCCGCAUAGACAGAGCAAUUCUCAAGCCACAACUUCUAGUGCAGAUGCCCAAGCUCUGAUGUCUUUCCUCUACAAUGCACAAUGCUCUUCUAUUCCACCCAGUUAUUUGUAUCUAAAGCAAUAAAAGAUUCUUGUGGUAACCGAUGAAUGGUCAGUGUAACUCUAGAGAGCCAAAUAUGCCAAUCCAGAAAACAGGAGACAGACCACCAGCAUAGCAUAGUGGUAAGAGCAAGGAAGUGGGAGCUGAGAUCUGAAUUCUAUUCCUAACUUGCUAGGUGGCUUUGGGCAAGUAAUUAACAUCCAUGCCUCAGUUUCCCCAUCAGAAAAUUGGGAGUUAUGAGAUUCACCUGCCUUUGAGAUUAUUUGACAAAGGGUUCUGUAUAGUGCAUGCCAAAAACACUAGUGUUAUUUCUCAGUAUCUCCACGAGAUGGAGACAGGAGCCAAAUAAAACUUUGUAGCACCAAUUCUUGAAUAAAAGGUACUAAUCUGCCUAAGCAGGCCUGUUCAUGUUGUCUCCCAGACAGCUGGAGAUGCCUGUCCCUAAGCUAAUAAACUCAAAGCACUUUGGAGGACAGGAUUAGAGUUCAAAAUGACCUUGAUAAAUUACAGAAUGGGUUUGAAGUCAACAGAUUAAAUUCAAUGAAGACAAGUGCAAAGUAUUACACCUAGGAAGAAAAAAAUCAAUUUGCCCAAGUACAAAAUGGGGAAUAAUUGGCUAGGCAAGCAGUACUGCUCAAAAAGGAUCUGAGGGUUGUAGUAGAUCACAAAUUGAAUAUGAGCCAACAAUGUGAUACAGCUGCAGAAAAGGCUAAUAUAAUUCUUGGGUAUAUUAACAGGAGUGUCAUAUAUGAGAGGUAAUUGAUCUGCUCUAUUUGGCACUGGUGUGGCCUCAGCUUGAGUAUUGUGUCCAGUUUUUGUCACCACACUUUAAGAAAGAUGUGGACAAAUUGGAAAGAGUCCAGAGGAGAGCAACAAAAAUGAGAAAAGGUUUAGAAAACCUGACCUACAAGGAAAGGUUUAAAAAAACUGGGUACGUUUAUUCCCGAGAAAAGAAAGCCAAGUGGGGGGGACCUGAUAAGUCUUCAAAUAUGUUGAGGACUGUUAUAAAUAGGAUGGUGACCGAUUUGUUCUCCAUGUCCACUGAAGGGAGGAGAAGAAGUAAUGGCCUUAAUCUGCACCAAGGGAGAUUGUGGCAUCUAGUAUUGAUCAACUGUGAGGACAAUAACAUAAAAACACUGUCAUGUGACCCUUUCUCCACCAAGAGGGAUGCAUAGGGCAACCCAGGAGUUGGAUGAACCUCUUUGGAUAAAAACAAGAAUAGAUGACACACCAAAGUCAAGUUGAACCUAAUGCUUUUUGGAGACUUGGAAGAUGUCGUUUUUUUGUUUUUGUUUUUUUUAAAUCCCAUCUCUGAUGCUAGUUCUCCUAGUAUUUCCAGCCAAGCUGAACCCAGGACAUGUAGAAAUCUAGCAAGGGACUCUGUUAAAAUCUUAUGAUGACUGGCUGUGAGUUAAUGCUCUCUGUUUGAGAGAAAUGUGUGCACUUCAGGGUUAAAUGAGCAAUUGCAGUCAAUGAGCACUGACUGGUGACAGGGCAUCUGCCUACGUGAGCAGUCCUGGAGUGAGGAUGUGAGCAUAUAGCCCUCCCUAACACCUAGACAAAUUUUAAUAGCUUCCAAAAUAUGCAUUUGCCUGUGACCUACUAGCCCCCUUGCAAAUGUAGGUGCCAAAACACGCCGCAAGUGGAGCUGGGGGGAAAAGAGCGCUGAGAAACAGGCACAUUUUACCUACGUACCUGGAGCUUGGGGAUGGAGGGACAGCAUCCACAGAACAGCUACAGUCGUAGGCAUGUACAUAUUGCUAAUCUGACAUGCUGUCUUCCAGAGGAGUUCAUCUUCGUACCAGCCAUCUAGACAAGCUGCUCUGCAAAUGACAGCCUCCCUAGAAAGGCCAUUUGGGAGAAAUGGAAGAG